UGCUGUGAGCACUGGCCCAUGGGGACCUUUUUUAUGCUGCUGCUGUGCACAGCGGCUGCAGAUUGUAACCUGAUGUGCCCCUGCUAGUGAGUCAUGCGAGGUAAAAAAAGGACUUUUUUUUGUUUGUGUAAGAGAAGCACAGUAGAAAGCAACAGCCAGACCACUGAGUGUUUCUUUCAUAAUGUGGUAAUCAACUUAACCACUGAAACUCACUGAGAGCAUCCAUGGCAUCCAGUCCCACUAGGUGCACAUUAGGCUGAGCCUGGUGGAGAUAUUGAUUGAGCCUGCAGGGGUUUUAUAUCGACUACAAACACAUCAUCACAAAGUCAUUUGUGCAAUUAAGGUGUGCACUUGAUACAAGUAUUACCGUCAUUGCUUCAUGUGCAAGACUGGACAGACGAUUUGUGUCUGUAUUAGUUAUGAUGAAUCACGAUUAUUUUGCUUCUAUCUGUGGAAUUUUGUAAAGUAAAUAUCGAACUCAUGAAGAGUUAUAAAGCUAUUUUUAACCUUCGCUGAUAGUUAUUAUCGAUUCCCCUGCACAUGCAAUCCCGGAAAGGACCAACAAAAGAUUUAUCAACGAUGUCCCAUAAAAGUCCUGAAUGCUUUGAUUUGUUAUCAUUGAACAUUUCGCCUUAAAGCUGCAAGGGGAAUAAAUAAACACAAUCAAUGCUCGAGAGGCUUUAGUGGUACAGAGGGAUGUAGACGCCAUAUGUGCCCGUUGUUCGGAAAGGUUAGGUUUCAAAACAUAGUAAAGAAGUAAGAGUCAAGAUGACCCACGCAGUCAUCAAAAUGAAUCAGCACAGUCGGAAACACAUCUAACAAAAGAUCGCUGACGAUGGUUUACGUGUGUUAUUUCGUUGCCAUCUAUAGACCAAGGAAAGGGUGAAGCAGCAAAACCUCUGAUUGUAUUGAUCCAAACAAGGGUGUGUUUCACUUGUCAUUUAGGACAAGUCAUUUGUUUGAAGCUCUAUCAGGUAACUUGAAAUGUAUGAAUUUUCCCUUUUGU